CAAUGUACUAUUUCCAUUCCUCCUUUUAGAAGCCCUGCGCAGUGAUUCAGGCUAUACUUUUCCUCCCCUUCAUAUAAAUAGCUGCUCCGUUCAGUGACGUGGGAUACGCACGUACAUGUGUAGGUGAAUCUUUGAAUGAGCCACCUCUCCCCUCCCCUCUCCCCGUCCAUCCACCCCUCCAUCUCCUCCAUCCCUCCUCAUCCUCCCUCCCCACCACGCCUCCCCCUCCACUAGUUACUACGGGAUCUCUAUAAAAAGCCUAUGGAUGGGAGAGCCCGGUCUGUGUGGGGAGCGACUUUGGAGAAGACGGAUGGCGGCGUGGCGCUGAUUUGCUCUGACACUUUGGUGGAGGAGAGGAGACCGGACGGACAUGCUUCCAAGCAAAAGCGCGACAAAACGCAGCCGCUCGGGGAACUUUUCCAGGAGAUUUCCACACAGAGGAGAUUUACUUCCUUCUUGCCAUCUCCUCUCUGCUCUCCUGCCAGAGCAUCAGCACCUUGGCUUUAGACUGCUUACUGCUUAUACAGUAUCACAGCACAGUAACAGUCUACAGUCAUGGCUACUGAAGCCUGGUAAUGCAACAGACACGGUAGAAACAGGCUAUGUGCACACGAGGGGAAAGGGGAAUACUGGAAGUGCGCAGUACUUAUAAAAUGGCUGAAUUGAUAGCUGGAUCUCACUUUCAGUGCGAGCACGUGUGUGUGUGUGUGUGUGUGUGUGUGUGUGUGUGUGUGUGUGUGUGUGUGUGUGUGUGUGUGUGUGUGUGUGUGUGUGUGUGUGUGUGUGUGUGUGUGUGUGUGUGUGUGUGUGUGUGUGUGUGUGUGUGUGUGUGUGUGUGUGUGUGUUUCUCCCACACAGAGAGGAAAGCCUGUGUGGGCUUGCAUUGGGGGAGUCCUGCACCCCACAAGUGAGUAAGGUUCACACUCAAACCAAUGAGCUCCUGCAGCUUCCAGUUACCAUGCCAACUGCAGUUCCACCUCCACCCUUGCUGUCUCCAUGGCGACCGUGGCUUUAGAUUGUUACUCUAGCAACAGCACCAUGGUAACAGUCUACAGCCAUGGUCGUUAGGGGCAGGUGUCAUCCGGAAACCAAAGGAAAGAUCACUUUUAAUUGCAUCUACUUGUAAAAAUGUUUCUCUUUGAUGUUUGUCUGAAUUAAUAUGCAACAAACUGAAUCUAUUGGCUGUAGGAAACAGUUUCAGAGUCACAAAAUGACGCACGAGCACACGCUGCUUUUCAGUUUCUUUAUAAAGUUUAAUUAGUGAAGUACAACGAUACAUGCAAACAUUACAAGCUGCACAGAUGAGUUAGUAAGCUCCACUUUCUGUUCAUCAGACAAGAGAAGCUUCACUUCAAAGUAGCACAGUUAGGAAAUUCCAGUGGGUAGCGUCCAGACCUCGGCAGAGUCCUGCACAGGUGGGAUAACACACACCUUCACACACACACUCUUAAUGUGUGCUUGCAGCACAAUAUCAGAGCUGUUUCAAGCACAACUCUGCAGUGUCCGGAGUUAGUCUGCCAUCUAGUGGGAAGAUAAGCAAAUGUAACAGAUUUCGUGUUUUUUUUUUUUUUUUUUUUUUUUUUUUUUUUUUUUUUUUA